UACGUAGGGUGCAAGCGUUGUCCGGAAUUAUUGGGCGUAAAGAGCUCGUAGGCGGUUUGUCGCGUCUGCUGUGAAAACCCGAGGCUCAACCUCGGGCCUGCAGUGGGGUACGGGCAGACUAGAGUGCGGUAGGGGAGAUUGGAAUUCCUGGUGUAGCGGUGAAAUGCGCAGAUAUCAGGAGGAACACCGAUUGCGAAGGCAGCUCGGCUGGGACGUAACUGACGCUGAGACGCGAAAGCGUGGGGAGCAAACAGG
rnacentral:rRNA from 1 species